CAGCGGGUAGCAGUGAAAUGCGUAGGAGAUUGUGGAGGAUUACCAAUGGCGAAGGCAGCCCCCUGGGAUAAUACUGACGCUCAUGCACGAAAGCGUGGGGAGCAAACAGGAUUAGAUACCUGGUAGUCCACGCCCUAAACGAUGCUGACUAGUUGUUCGGGAAUUUAUUCCUGAGUAACGUAGCUAACGCGUGAAGUCAGCCGCCUGGGGAGUACGGUCGCAAGAUUAAAACUCAAAGGAAUUGACGGGGACCCGCACAAGCGGUGGAUGAUGUGGAUUAAUUCGAUGCAACGCGAAAAACCUUACCUACCCUUGACAUGCCACUAACGAAGUAGAGAUACAUUAGGUGCCCGUAAGGGAAAGUGGACACAGGUGCUGCAUGGCUGUCGUCAGCUCGUGUCGUGAGAUGUUGGGUUAAGUCCCGCAACGAGCGCAACCCUUGUCUUUAGUUGCUACGCAAGAGCACUCUAAAGAGACUGCCGGUGACAAACCGGAGGAAGGUGGGGAUGACGUCAAGUCCUCAUGGCCCUUAUGGGUAGGGCUUCACACGUCAUACAAUGGUGCAUACAGAGGGUUGCCAACCCGCGAGGGGGAGCUAAUCUCAGAAAAUGCAUCGUAGUCCGGAUCGUAGUCUGCAACUCGACUACGUGAAGCUGGAAUCGCUAGUAAUCGCGGAUCAGAAUGUCGCGGUGAAUACGUUCCCGGGUCUUGUACACACCGCCCGUCACACCAUGGGAGUGGGUUUUGCCAGAAGCCGUUAGCCUAACCGCAAGGAGGGCGACGACCACGGCAGGGUUCAUGACUGGGGUGAAGUCGUAACAAGGUAGCCGUAUCGGAAGGUGCGGCUGGAUCACCUCCUUUCU
rnacentral:rRNA from 1 species